rnacentral:lncRNA from 1 species
UUGAGAAAGGUUCAUCAUCACUGUGGUUCCUAUUGUGUGUGGCAGAGUUUUUGUUUUCUUGCCACCAACCACCUCUUAACAGAUUUAAUAAGAACCUUGGUAAGUGUUGAAUUUAAUGCAGACCGGUGGGUUUUGGUUUGUUUGGUACCACCACCAUGUCUUUUUUUCAACUAUCCUCAUGCCUGUCCAUGUAGGGAUACAGAGCAUUUAUUUGUCUCAACUCUCAACUAGCAAGCAAAUGCAAUUUAUUCCAUCAAUACUGGCUUUGCUCUUGUUGACCUCUGAUGGUUUCUUAGCCUUGGGGCUAUGUCUUUAUGUACAGUGCUCCUAAUAAAGUGGUUCUGUUACUGUUAUACAAAAGCUACAGGUACUAGAUAAGCUUUUAUAAAUUACUUCCAAAAAAACAAUGAAGUUUCACACUUUAGUGGAUGCUGUCACUAGUAUCAAGUAAUCUCUUGCACAUGGUAUUUGAAAUUAUCAUGUUAGUAGAUGAAUUUUGUUUGUUAAAUAAUGUUCAUAGACAUCUAGACUAGUUUUUAAAUUGUUUAACAGCUAGGAGAAAAUCUCACAGUGUAGAGAGGGAAGAAAGCUUUUGAAAUUAAAGUGGACAUUCAAUCCUCCCGGAAAUUAACUGUUUCUGAUCAUUGAUCAAGGUUAUCAAGGUUAAUAUUCAAAGCUACUCCACCUGCUAAAGGAUGAGGUCAAUCUAUAAAAGACGUCAUAUUAGAAAGAGCAUAGCUGUCAAUAUCUUUUUUCUAGGCUGUUAAUAACUUCUAUUUAUGCUUCCAUUGAGGCUUUCCACAAACCUGAUCAACAAAACUGAUCAAACACCAUAAAUAUAUAAAGUUAAAACAUGAUUGUUUUCUUCUACUACAUUAUUUUCUUUACAAAUAGCAAGCAUGCUAUUUGUAAAAUCUGAUAGUUAAUGAUAGUGAAAUUUAUAUUAUAUGGAGAAGAAAAUUGAUAAGAGAGUGAAUGAGCUGCCAGAUAGACAAGCAACUGCAGUUGAGUUAGAGGAUAAAGUGAGAUCUCAUACUGAUUUAUUGACUGCCAAAGACUAAGUUGUGUAUUGUGUGAUUCUUUGUGUCUUUAAAGAAGUAGUAAUAUAUCUUUUAUAAAACUCACAAUGUUUUGGAAACUUAAAGGUGUAUUGCAGAAAUUGAAGACAUGAUGCAUGCACUUGAUGAGGAAGAGAUGCAAAUGGAAGAACAUACAAAGAGGAUUGUAUGAUAAUUUGUACAUCGCUUGACGAUCCUCUUAAAAUUCUUUGAAUGAAGUGGAAAAGGUUGUUCAGCAAAAGAAUUUGUACAUCGCUUGUAGAUCUUAAUUGUUCUUAAGGUGUCUUUGUAUGAUAAUUGGCAAGUGAAUUCAAUCAUAUGCCUUUUGGCAAUGCCAUGACUUUCAUCUGUGUCUGGAUAUUUUUGGUUUGAUUCAUCUUGCUGACUCAUUCAGUAUUUGAUUCUUAGCAGAUUAGCUUUCACGAGUUUAAAAGUAAGUUGUUGGAUCUUGAGUGAAGUAUGUUCAAGUGCAAUGAUGGUAACAUAAAAAUAAAAAUGAG